AUGCAGUGUUACCGUGGACGCAUGCACCCCCGGAUCGGAACCGCAAGCACCAAGUACACCACCCGCAAGACUCGGACUUCGAACGCCAAGUACUACUACAUACCCGAAGAAUUCAGAUGCAUCAAGUCCCCGAGGAGACCCGUUUUUUUGUUAAGUUCGACUACCCGUUUCAUCAAGUACCACUACGGCCGGAGACCUCGGACACGCCAAGUACCCCUUCGAGCUAUCAAUACCGCAAGCGCCAAGUUCCACCACGAUAGGAGAACAACUGCCGUCGACAUGCAUUUUGCCAAGUACCACUACCUUCGACGCGAACCACUACUUCCACUACGGCAUGAGUACAACUACUACCACUACGAACGUGACGAGAACGUCUACUUCCCCUACACCGCAUCGAACUUGGUCCGUUCCGACAACACACGCUUUGAAGGUAUAACCCCGAGACGACGCCCGUGA
rnacentral:rRNA from 1 species